AACGCGAAGAACCUUACCAGGUCUUGACAUCCGAUGCAUAGUGCAGAGAUGCAUGAAGUCCUUCGGGACAUCGAGACAGGUGGUGCAUGGUUGUCGUCAGCUCGUGUCGUGAGAUGUUGGGUUAAGUCACGCAACGAGCGCAACCCUUAUUGCCAGUUACUACGCAAGAGGACUCUGGCGAGACUGCCGUUGACAAAACGGAGGAAGGUGGGGAUGACGUCAAAUCAUCAUGCCCUUUAUGACCUGGGCUACACACGUACUACAAUGGCGUUUAACAAAGAGAAGCGAUACCGCGAGGUGGAGCAAAACUCAAAAACAACGUCUCAGUUCAGAUUGCAGGCUGCAACUCGCCUGCAUGAAGUCGGAAUUGCUAGUAAUCGCGGAUCAGCAUGCCGCGGUGAAUACGUUCCCGGGUCUUGUACACACCG
rnacentral:rRNA from 1 species